UGGGACUUCUGAAUUUUAAUACCAUUCACAUGUUCAACAGUAUUUACAUGAUAUUGGAUGUACACAUUAUCCUGUAAAGGUACAGUACUAGAUAAUCCUUUACACGUUGUGAUCCUAGGUGACAGCUCUCCUGACAUCACACGUGACCCCAGUAUUUCCGGUCACGUGGUCAUACGCGGUGCUGUCAACUAACAUCAGAAAGCGUACA